GCGGGUGUUGCCAAGUGGUAAGGCAUAAGCUUCCCAAGCUUACAUUCGCGGGUUCGAUCCCCGUCACCCGCUCCA
rnacentral:tRNA from 1 species